rnacentral:tRNA from 1 species
UAUAUUUAAGUGUUUUGCAUAUGAAUUUUUGAAAUUCAAGGGUUAAACAAGUGUUUAAAAGUAUAA